AACGCGAAGAACCUUACCAGCCCUUGACAUGUCCCGUAUGAGUACCAGAGAUGGAACUCUUCAGUUCGGCUGGCGGGAACACAGGUGCUGCAUGGCUGUCGUCAGCUCGUGUCGUGAGAUGUUGGGUUAAGUCCCGCAACGAGCGCAACCCUCGCCCUUAGUUGCCAUCAUUAAGUUGGGCACUCUAAGGGGACUGCCGGUGAUAAGCCGCGAGGAAGGUGGGGAUGACGUCAAGUCCUCAUGGCCCUUACGGGCUGGGCUACACACGUGCUACAAUGGCGGUGACAGUGGGAUGCAAUGGAGCAAUCCUGCGCAAAUCUCAAAAAGCCGUCUCAGUUCGGAUUGUGCUCUGCAACUCGAGCACAUGAAGUUGGAAUCGCUAGUAAUCGCAGAUCAGCACGCUGCGGUGAAUACGUUCCCGGGCCUUGUA
rnacentral:rRNA from 1 species